UUUGAGAACCGAGUGGCAAACGGGUGGGUAACGCGUAGACAACCUGCCGCAAAGAUGGGGACAACAGUCCGAAAGGACUGCUAAUACCGAAUGUUGCCAGAUUCCCGCAUGGGAGACUGAUUAAAGAUGGCCUCUACUUGUAAGCUAUCGCUUUGCGAUGGGUCUGCGUCUGAUUAGCUAGUUGGUGGGGUAACGGCCUACCAAGGCGACGAUCAGUAGCCGGUCUGAGAGGAUGAACGGCCACAUUGGAACUGAGACACGGUCCAGACUCCUACGGGAGGCAGCAGUGGGGAAUCUUCCGCAAUGGGCGAAAGCCUGACGGAGCAACGCCGCGUGAGUGAAGAAGGGUUUCGGCUCGUAAAGCUCUGUUGACGGGGACGAAUGUGCGAAAUGCGAAUAGUUUUUCGCAAUGACGGUACCCGUCGAGGAAGCCACGGCUAACUACGUGCCAGCCGCUGC
rnacentral:rRNA from 1 species